rnacentral:rRNA from 1 species
CAAGUCGAGCGCGAUAUUUUUGAAAGAUACUUCGGUUGAUUUCUUAAAUGGAAAGCGGCGAAAGGGAGAGUAACGAGUAGAUACGUACCCAGGGGUCCGGGAUAGCCAUGCGAAAGCGUGAGUAAUACCGGAUAAUGUCUCCGGACCAAAUAUUUAUAGCCCUUGGAGCGGUCUGCUUACUAUUAGCUUGUUGGUGGGGUAAAGGCCUACCAAGGCGAAGAUGGUUAGCGGGUGUGAGAGCAUGGCCCGUCUCACUGGGACUGAGACACUGCCCAGACAUCUACGGAUGGCUGCAGUCGAGAAUCUUCCGCAAUGGACGAAAGUCUGACGGAGCGACGCCGCGUGAUGGACGAAGGCCCUCGGGUUGUAAACAUCUGUCGUAGGGGAGGAAAUUUUGACCGAUCCUAGGAGGAAGCACAGGCUAAGUUCGUGCCAGCAGCCGCGGUAAUACGAACUGUGCAAACGUUAUUCGGAAUCACUGGGCUUAAAGGGUGCGUAGGCGGACAGGUAGGUCAGAUGUGAAAUCCCACGGCUCAACCGUGGAACUGCGUUUGAAACCACUUGUCUUGAGGGGAUCAGAGGAGAGCGGAACUGAUGGUGGAGCGGUGAAAUGCGUUGAUAUUAUCAGGAACACCGGUGGCGAAGGCGGC